rnacentral:rRNA from 1 species
AUUGAACGCUGGCGGCAGGCCUAACACAUGCAAGUCGAGCGGAUGAAGGGAGCUUGCUCCUGGAUUCAGCGGCGGACGGGUGAGUAAUGCCUAGGAAUCUGCCUGGUAGUGGGGGAUAACGUCCGGAAACGGGCGCUAAUACCGCAUACGUCCUGAGGGAGAAAGUGGGGGAUCUUCGGAACUCACGCUAUCAGAUGAGCCUAGGUCGGAUUAGCUAGUUGGUGGGGUAAAGGCCUACCAAGGCGACGAUCCGUAACUGGUCUGAAAGGAUGAUCAGUCACACUGGAACUGGAACACGGUCCAGACUCCUACGGGAGGCAGCAGUGGGGAAUAUUGGACAAUGGGCGAAAGCCUGAUCCAGCCCUGCCGCGUGUGUGAAGAAGGUCUUCGGAUUGUAAAGCACUUUAAGUUGGGAGGAAGGGCAGUAAGUUAAUACCUUGCUGUUUUGACGUUACCAACAGAAUAAGCACCGGCUAACUUCGUG